CCUACGGGUGGCAGCAGUGAGGAAUAUUGGUCAAUGGCCGGAAGGCUGAACCAGCCAAGCCGCGUGAAGGACGAAGGUGCCAAGCAUUGUAAACUUCUUUUGUCAAGGGACAAAAUCAGGCUCGAGAGCCUGACCGAGGGUACUUGAAGAAAAAGCAGCGGCCAACUCCGGGCCAGCAGCCGCGGUAAUACGGAGGAUGUGAGCGUUAUCGGGAUUUAUGGGGGUUAAAGGGUGCGUAGGUGGGCUGUUAAGUCAGCGGUAAAAGCCCGGGCCUGAACCCCGGCGAGCCGUUGAAACUGGCUGUCUUGAGAUGUCGAGAGGUAGGCGGAAUGCGCAGUGUAGCGGUGAAAUGCUUAGAUAUUGCGCAGAACUCCGAUUGCGAAGGCAGCAUACCGGCGGCGAUCUGACGCUGAGGCACGAAAGCGUGGGUAUCGAACAGGAUUAGAUACCCUUGUAGUC
rnacentral:rRNA from 1 species